GGGAAGCAUACAUUUCCUGGAGAACUUUUUACUAAAAGCGUUAAAGUCGUUUUUAAAUCUCACUUUCCCCGAAAAGCCCACUACUCCAAACAUCUCUGCUCCCAGCCUGCCCCCACCUGGUCCCUCCCCUGGAGCCCCAAGGCUCAGGCAGCGCUGGGUCCGCCCACCUCCCUGCCUCCCUCUGAUUGGCUAAUUUUCCCUUCUCCUCCUAACGCUGCUUUCGCCUGUUGGGUUUGGCUCCCAGCCCUCCUGCCUCAGUUACAAAAAAAGACCAAAGUGCCCUGGAAAGAUGAACCAUCCUAUGGAGAACAGCAAUCCUGGAGAAUGACUGUGUCCGCCAUGGACUUUUUGCAUGAAAAAAGAAAUGCAGCCUUCCUGGGACCACCAUGCUGUGAGAAUGUCAGGCUGCAUGACAGGCCCUGGAGGAUACGACACUACCUGGGAAGAAAGAGACCAAGGAAUGUUAAAUGUGCUGGACAUUUGAGUACAAAGUCCUUUGGGUAGUGGGUCCUCCGUCUAGAACAGAGAUAAACCAUUCAGCCAAGCCCUCCACAUGUUCCUCACCUGCAAAAUCAUGAGCAAAAUAAAUGGUGGUUUGAAACCA